rnacentral:misc_RNA from 1 species
AAUGUCGUAACAAGGUCUCCGUUGGUGAACCAGCGGAGGGAUCAUUACUGAGUCGUAAAAAAACUCCCAAACCCAUGUGAACUUACCUAUGUUGCCUCGGCAGGACCUACCCGGGACCGUACCCUGCUAGCUACCUUGUAGCCUGCCGGUGGGACAUCUAAACUCUUGUUUUUUCAUAGAAAUCUGAACGUCUUUAUUUAAAAUAAGUCAAAAA